rnacentral:rRNA from 1 species
GGGUGGGGGAGGCUUACCAUGCAGUCGAGCGGAGUGAUGGUGCUUGCACUAUCACUUAGCGGCGGACGGGUGAGUAAUGCUUAGGAAUCUGCCUAUUAGUGGGGGACAACAUUUCGAAAGGAAUGCUAAUACCGCAUACGUCCUACGGGAGAAAGCAGGGGAUCUUCGGACCUUGCGCUAAUAGAUGAGCCUAAGUCGGAUUAGCUAGUUGGUGGGGUAAAGGCCUACCAAGGCGACGAUCUGUAGCGGGUCUGAGAGGAUGAUCCGCCACACUGGGACUGAGACACGGCCCAGACUCCUACGGGAGGCAGCAGUGGGGAAUAUUGGACAAUGGGCGCAAGCCUGAUCCAGCCAUGCCGCGUGUGUGAAGAAGGCCUUAUGGUUGUAAAGCACUUUAAGCGAGGAGGAGGCUACUGAAGUUAAUACCUUCAGAUAGUGGACGUUACUCGCAGAAUAAGCACCGGCUAACUCUGUGCCAGCAGCCGCGGUAAUACAGAGGGUGCAAGCGUUAAUCGGAUUUACUGGGCGUAAAGCGCGCGUAGGCGGCUAAUUAAGUCAAAUGUGAAAUCCCCGAGCUUAACUUGGGAAUUGCAUUCGAUACUGGUUAGCUAGAGUGUGGGAGAGGAUGGUAGAAUUCCAGGUGUAGCGGUGAAAUGCGUAGAGAUCUGGAGGAAUACCGAUGGCGAAGGCAGCCAUCUGGCCUAACACUGACGCUGAGGUGCGAAAGCAUGGGGAGCAAACAGGAUUAGAUACCCUGGUAGUCCAUGCCGUAAACGAUGUCUACUAGCCGUUGGGGCCUUUGAGGCUUUAGUGGCGCAGCUAACGCGAUAAGUAGACCGCCUGGGGAGUACGGUCGCAAGACUAAAACUCAAAUGAAUUGACGGGGGCCCGCACAAGCGGUGGAGCAUGUGGUUUAAUUCGAUGCAACGCGAAGAACCUUACCUGGCCUUGACAUAGUAAGAACUUUCCAGAGAUGGAUUGGUGCCUUCGGGAACUUACAUACAGGGGCUGCAUGGCUGUCGUCAGUU